GAAACACUGGCCGCAGGAGGGGCACGUGACGCCAGCCAGACACUCGGCCAAGCAGGGAGCGGAAUCAAGCCGGAACCCCGCGGGGUGACUGGACCUAACACUGCAGGAGACUCGGGAACCCCACCUCGCCUGUGGCGUCCAUGCCACUGGUCCUCACGGCCCCUCCCGGGGCUCAGGGUGGCAGCAAGUGGCACACUGGAGCCCCUGACUGACCCUGGGCCUCCGCGUCCCCCAGGACUCUCAGGAGGAAUGACAGCCGCGGGCAGCCUGCUAGGCCUGCUGCUGGGGCACCGCAUGGUGGCGUGGUGGCGCUUGGGGGCAUCCGCUGGCACAUGCCCUCCAGGCCUGCUGGCUGGCAGCAGCACAGCCUUGCUCUCGCACGUGCUCCAGCAAGCGCACGCACGCCUCCAGCCAAGCUCCCUCUAGGUCAAGCAGGACAGGCUCCACCCGCCACAUCUGCUUCCGGGUGCUGUGCCUAAGGCUCGCGAGACCCGUGACCUGGCUGCCCGGUCCCCGGAUGAAAGGCAGGGGGCGGUCCAUGAAGCCAGCUCAAAGAGGCGGCAGAGGAGUAAGGAGUUCGGCGUCACCCGCCUCGUUAGGAGAGAACGGGAAAGGAAGAUAACUGUAUUCAUGAGUGAAGCAAAGGAAGAGACUCUAGAAAAAAGGUGGCCAAUUUCUUGACCAGUAAGGAGAGAAUAAAGAGAGAAAAAUAGAAAAAAAGUAAAGGCUUGGCAAGUACCAGAAGGCUCAUUGAGAUUUCCUGUGGUUUAUGACCCAAGUUGACAACUGUGACUUCUUCUUUGUGGCGUUCUGAUGGUUAUGUCGUAUAAGAAUCACCUUAUAUCAUUUGAGAAGCUGCUGACACGGAGCACUGGUUUGAUGGAUGACCUGAGCGGCUGCUGUUCCCAUCAGAGAUCUGUUUUACUCUCCAGCGCACUUACACAUCCAUUAUUGUGUUGAAGACACCCACACAACUCCUCUGCUAUUGGGACGUCCCGAGCGCGCGGCAGUUUCAUAAAUGCCAGGUUCCGAGCAUUGCGUGGGAAAGUGCAGCGGCGCAGUAAAGCAUCGCCUGGCCUUUUGGCAAUCACCAGAUUAUUACAUUUUAAAGGAUUCUGUCUGAUGAAUUUCAGCUUCCUCAGCUGUGUAAACUUGCCCCAAUUCUCCUUCAAAAAAUUCGUGGAUGUGCAUUUUGAGAUUCACUUAACUGUGACAACAUUAAUUCUUUCAGGUCAUCGUGAAUAAGUGACACAUGAAUUCAUUAGGCAUCUAUUUGCAUGUACAGUAUUCUUAGUAUUGUAGUGAAAUAGUUCCAUUUCAUUAGAAAAGAUCCCUGAAAAACAAUGGCAUUAUUACCUGUGAAUAUUUCUCACGUUACAUGGUCCACAGUAGAGCUACAAGACUAUAACCCCACACCAAUACGCAGGACCCAGGAUAAGUGGACAAGUAAGGUACAACACCGUAUACUUAUAUGAAUCAUCAUAGUUAGAGCUAAUUUUUUUCUGGAAUUUAUUAGGGAAUCCAUAUCAUAUGAUUCAUUUAUAUACUUUUCUUUAAAUAUUCUGUUCAGGAAAACAAAGUCUAAAUUCAAGUAAAAAAUACUAAUUCUAAACUCAUAUGAAAAAUAUCUUGACAGAUUUUAACAAAAAUAGUGUAGCUAAUGAAGACCAUGGCAUCCACUUAAAUGUAUUAGAACACAAUAUUUAUAGAUUAAUUAAAUCUUCUAUCUCUUUUAAACAAUGAGAUAUUGAUGUGCUC
rnacentral:lncRNA from 1 species